UACGUAGGGUGCAAGCGUUGUCCGGAAUUAUUGGGCGUAAAGAGCUCGUAGGCGGUUUGUUGCGUCGGCUGUGAAAUCCCGAGGCUCAACCUCGGGUCUGCAGUCGAUACGAGCAAACUAGAGUGUUGCAGGGGAGACUGGAAUUCCUGGUGUAGCGGUGAAAUGCGCAGAUAUCAGGAGGAACACCUGCGGCGAAGGCGGGUUGCUGGGCCGACACUGACGCUGAGGCGCGAAAGCCAGGGGAGCGAACGGGG
rnacentral:rRNA from 1 species